rnacentral:tRNA from 1 species
GCGCUCUUAGUUCAACUCGGUAGAACGUAGGUCUCCAAAACCUAAUGUCGUAGGUUCAAAUCCUACAGGGCGUG